GGAUCCCCCGAAGAACCCUCGGGGUCACAUACUGUGGUUAGCCCCUUUCGCAGAUCAGGGGACUGAGGUUUAGCUAAAUCAAAUGACGCCCACACCACAUGUUAUUGAAUGGAGGACCCAGGACGUGAACCCGCAGUCUGCCUGGCAAGAAAAUGUGUUCUUUUCUGCACACUUUUCCAGGCUUUUGCUCCUGGUCCACACCCAGGCCCGUGACCAAUGCCAGGUUCCAAGUUAGGAGAGAGCAGCAGGUCACAGAGUACAGUCACAGUACCCUCAGCCUUCAGGAGGUCAGGAAUCUAAUCACUGUGAAGAGGAGGCGGAGGAAGUGGUGAGUCAGACAGUUGUGUUCAGCAACAUUUCCGAAGGAGGAAAGGAAAACUAGCCAAGGCUGCAUAACUGUAAAGCCAGCUGAAGAGUCAGACCAAUGGUUUUGGUUCUUCAGUGGAUUAUUUUAAGAAAUCGCUGCAUCACUCAUGUUUAAUGUCGUGUAGGUCACUUCGUUGUCUAAUGCGAAGCACUUUUGUUUGACUUGCUGUCUACUACUGGGUAAAAAAAGUUUGCGCUUUGUGGAGUUACAUGUUAACUCAUACGUUUUGUCUGGUAGAGAUCCAAAUGACCUUUGUCCGUUAGAAAAGAUAUCUCGAAAGUAUAUUUUAUUGCCCUGUAGGACAUUAACCAGCUUUGUUUCUAACCUAGCCAGCUUAUUCCAACAUAUUUUUUCUUUGUUUUUCCAGUUUCAUUAUUUUUAAAAAUUUGAGUAUAGUUGAGACACUCCAACAUAUUUUUCCAAUGCUCAUAAAGCCUUUGUUCCUGUAAUUCUCCAAACCAGGUGUUAAGCUUUGACAGUUGUUUAUUCUGUAGUUGCAUGAGAAUCUUGUUUUUUUUUAACUUUUUGAAACGUGCACACAUCAACAGCUAAAUGGAAAAGUGAUUCAAAAGAGUUAGGCUCUGAGGGUGCCUGGGUGGCUCAGUCGGUUAAGCAUCCGACUUCGGCUUAGGUCAUGAUCUCGCAGUCCAUGAGUUCGAGCCCCACGUCAGGCUCU